CUGCUGCCUUCCGUAGGAGUUUGGGCCGUGUCUCAGUCCCAAUGUGGCCGAUCACCCUCUCAGGUCGGCUACUGAUCGUCGCCUUGGUAGGCCUUUACCUCACCAACUAGCUAAUCAGACGCGGGUCCAUCUCAUACCACCGGAGUUUUUCACACCCAAUCAUGCGAUUCUGUGCGCUUAUGCGGUAUUAGCAGUCAUUUCUAACUGUUAUCCCCCUGUAUGAGGCAGGUUACCCACGCGUUACUCACCCG
rnacentral:rRNA from 1 species